rnacentral:tRNA from 1 species
GGUUGUGGCUCAGUGGUACAGUGCUUGCCAAGCAUGUGUGAGGCCCUGGGUUCAAUCCUCAGCACCA